rnacentral:rRNA from 1 species
GCACAAGCGGUGGAGCAUGUGGUUAAUUCGACGCAACGCGAAGAACCUUACCAGGGCUUGACAUCCCCUGACCGCGUAUGAAAGUACGUUUUCACCUUCGGGAGACAGGGAGACAGGUGGUGCAUGGUUGUCGUCAGCUCGUGUCGUGAGAUGUUGGGUUAAGUCCCGCAACGAGCGCAACCCCUACGUUUAGUUGCUAACAGGUGAAGCUGAGCACUCUAGACGAACUGCCGUUGACAAAACGGAGGAAGGUGGGAUGACGUCAAAUCAUCAUGCCCCUUAUGUUCUGGGCUACACACGUGCUACAAUGGCCGGUACAGACGGAGGCGAAGCCGCGAGGCGGAGCAAAUCCGAAAAAGCCGGUCUCAGUUCGGAUUGCAGGCUGCAAUUCGCCUGCAUGAAGUCGGAAUCGCUAGUAAUCGCAGGUCAGCAUACUGCGGUGAAUACGUUCCCGGGCCUU